CAAACGCAUAGUCGCCGCCCACUGGGAAGUGUAUUUUAGCUUUGCAAAUGUGCGAACGCCUGUGCAGACGAGCACUACAAAAAUAGUUUAUACAGUUUCUGAGUAGGUCUGAACUUACUCAGCCGCUGCAAUCAUUUCAGCCUGUCCGGUCCCGGAAAUUACGUUAGACACCCGCCCUGCAAAUGCUUGGACACGCCUGCGUUUUUCCAACCACUCCCAGAAAACGGUUAGUUGACACCCAUAAAUGCCUUCUUCCUGUCAAUCUUCUUGCGAUCGGCUGUGCGAAUGGAUUCUUCAUUAAAUCCAUCGCCCAGCAAUGAUCCCCUUUGUACCCGUAUGACGCGCCUGCGCACUGCGGUGCAUACGCAUGCGCAGUAGUGACCUGAUCGCUGCACUGGGAAAAAAUGCAGCGUAUGAUCAGGUCGGAAUGAGCCCCUUAAUGAGAUAUUUUGUGAGAGUUCUCCUGUUUUUUUAUAAAGUGGCAAUCAUUUACAUGGCAAAUCCAUCCCUCCCCCUUCCCCAUCUCUAGGAUAUAAUUUUUUAACAAUUAUGUCUUAUCCUAUCGGCAAAUAUUUUAUAGCAUUUACCAGUUGCCAAAUUUCUGAAAAAUUACGUAAGACAGAUAUAAUGGAAGAAAUUGGUCCAGAGGAGAAGAAUAAAAUUCAGAAAGAAAGAGAUGGCAGCCGUCAUCAAAAGAGUGAAAAUUAAGCAGACUCACAAUAGUGGUUAUUAUGGACAAACUCAUGGAAAUACACCUCCAAAAAGUCACAAUCAACCUCUGGGCCACUCUCCACCCCUACUGAUGCUGAGGAUUCUGAUGAUGUUGGUCCAUCUACACACGGGUUGCCAGAACGGAAACACAGUCUGGGUGUGUCUUCACGGCCAGUACACAUCACAACACCAUGUCCAUGCAUGUCGGAGGUAUCAGCCAUCCCACCAAUGCAACUCCUCAACAGCCCGAAGCCAUUGUCACCACAUUCGCCACAC